rnacentral:tRNA from 1 species
GGGCGUAUAGCUCAGCGGGAGAGCGCUGCUUUCACACGGCAGAGGUCACUGGUCCGAUCCCAGUUACGCCCA